GAUCGUGUAGCUCAGCCAGGUUAGAGCGCCGUGCUGAUAACGCGGAAGUCCCCGGUUCAAAUCCGGGCACGAUCA
rnacentral:tRNA from 1 species